rnacentral:misc_RNA from 1 species
GAUGAAGAACGCAGCGAAAUGCGAUACGUAAUGUGAAUUGCAGAAUUCAGUGAAUCAUCGAAUCUUUGAACGCAUAUUGCGCUCUCUGGUAUUCCGGAGAGCAUGCUUGUUUGAGUAUCAGUAAACACCUCAACUCCCUUUUCUUUUUUGAAAUUGGAGCUGGACUUGAGUGAUCCCAACGCUUUCUUCCAAGAAAGUGGCGGGUUGCUUGAAAUGCAGGUGCAGCUGAACUUUUCUCUGAGCUAUAAGCAUAUCUAUGUAGUCUGCCUAAAACACAGAUUAUUACCUUUGCUGCAGCUAACAUAAAGGAGACUAGUUCUUGUGCUGACUGAUGCAGGAUUCACAGAGACAGCUUCGGCUGACUUUGUAAACUCGAUCUCAAAUCAAGUAAGACUACCCGCUGAACUUAAGCAUAUCAAUAAGCGGAGGA